ensembl:lncRNA
CCUGAUCGCUGGGUCCAUAAUAAGCCUGGGACACAUGAUAAAGCCGCUGGAUCUGGGUGUGGCUCAGUAUUCUGUAACGAAGGGAGAGGCAGAGGAUGUUUUGGGGGGGGCUGGGGGGGGGGCUGGGCAUUACCGACAAGCUCCGGUGGCUGUGGAGCUUGGUCGAUCACAGAUCAAUGCACCUUCCACUCUGGUGAUUGCUACUCCGGUUAUCAAGCCCGUACCUGUAAUGUCGGCAACAGCAGAUCCUAUCCACAUCAUUUCAGUUUUCAUUUAGGAGCGUCUGGAAGCCACUUCUUAAGGUGGGGCGGGGGGCUCAUUAUCUCUGAUUGCAUUCACAUGUGUCUUGUUAUGUCAUCUGUCUCACCCUAUUUAAAGCCUGGUUUGUUACUUCCACAUGGCUCAGUAUUGUUUAGCCUUUGUUUAGCCUGUGUAGCCCUAGUUCCUGUGUUAUCUUAUUUCUGUUCGUUUGCUGCCUGCCCUGACCAUUGCUCGUUUCUUGGAUUACUCUUUUGUCUGCCCUGGAUUAUACCUGUUUGGUGCUGUUUGACCCUGCCUGUUUUGAACACUUUUGCAAUAAAGCCUGCAUUUGGAUACUCUUAUUUGGAUUUGGAGUUGUCACGCUCCCCACGUUACAGAUGGCAGGGUUACAUCUCACAGUUGUGACUUUCUCUUAGAUUUAGUAUCAUAGAUUUAUUUGACAUAUUUGCAGCCCUAUAUCUUACAUUUGCAGCCUAAUGUCUCAAAAUUGCAACUUAAAUUUUUCACAAUGUGUGUUUAUAUCUUACAAUUGUGACUUUGUUUCUCACAAUUGCCACUUUCUGGAAUUGUGACUUAAUAUCUCACAAUUAUAACACUGUUUCUUUCAAUUUUGACAUCUCACAGUUUUGACUUUGUUUCUUGUAGUUGCGACUUUGUUUAAUUACAAUGUUUCUUGGAAUUUUGACUUCAUAUCUCACAAUAACGAAAUUUUUUCUUUCGAUUUUGACAGACAACUCACAGUUUUGACUAAAUAUUGCCUAAAUAUUCAAUAUUUUUGUGGCACUUCUGCUGCCAAUAAGAAGCACAGUAAACAACUGAGCCAUUGUUCAUUCACAGAAUUGGUUUUAUUUUAGUUUAUUUUUAUAUUGUUUCGCAGCACUGUGCUGAACUAAGACUAUGAGACUAGCAAGACUAUGUAUGCAUGUGUAUAUGUAUAGAGUGAGUACUCCAGGUUUCUGCAAUGAGUAACUGGUUAUUUUCUACAGCAAGUUACUUAUUGCUUGUUGCUAUAAGACCUUAAAACAAAAGUCUUUUACUUUUGACUUCAUAUCUCACAAUUACAAAUAUUUUUCUUUCGAUUCUGACAUAUCUCACAGUUUUGACUUUUUUUUUUUUUUUUUGUAAUUUCAACUUCCUGUCUCACAAUUACAACUUAAUUUCUAGUAAUUUUCUAGUGACUUAUAAUUUGACAUUGUUUCUAAUGAUUUUAAAUUUAUAUCUCACAAUUGUGGCUUUUUCAUAGUUGUGAUUUCAUGUCUAAUAAUUACUCAUGUCUCAUAAUAACUUUGUUUCUCAUAAUUGCAACUUUAUAUUUUAUAUUAAGAUUUGUUGAACUAUUGCUUAAUAUUGAGUGUGAGAUCUUGAUGGGUUUGAUCUAUUGGAUUACUGGAGAUCUAACAAACCCAUGAAAUAUUUUAAUGAAAAAAUUUUCUUUUCUGUCGACCUAAAAGGGUGAGAUCCCAAUGGGUUAGAUUCACUGGAGAAUGAUCUUUCAGUCAUUUUCUUGAGCAAUAUAUUAUGCAAAUGAAUGUGUAAUCUGAUUCAAGGCUUAAGUUCUUAAGAACCUCACAUGAUUUGUAAUAAUCAUCUCUUCUUUUGGCAGAGCACUCUCUAAUUCUAAUCAAACGCCCACAGGGACUAAUACAGUAGUUCCAGAAGAAACCGACAAACUGACUUCUUGUUCGCUUUGUUGGACAUUCAUAUCUGUAGUCAAAUAGGUAGUCUGCAUGUAAACCACAGCUUGGAUUCAAGAAUAGAGACUAAAACUCUUUGACAGAGACAUUUCGAGUGCCAAAUGUGAAAUAAAACAUUCAGGAAAGAUACUUCA